rnacentral:misc_RNA from 1 species
GAUGAAGAGCGUAGCGAAAUGCGAUACGUAGUGUGAAUUGCAGAAUUCAGUGAAUCAUCGAAUCUUUGAACGCACAUUGCACCUCUCGGUAUUCCGGGAGGUAUGCCUGUUCGAGCGUCAUUUGUACCCUCAAGCUCUGCUUGGUGUUGGGUGUUUGUUCCGCCUCUGUGUGUGAACUCGCCUCAAAACAAUUGGCAGCCGGCGUACUUGUUUCGGAGCGCAGCACAUUUUGCGAUCCAGAUCAACGUACAGCGGCAUCCAAGAAGCCUUAUUUAACGCUCUUGACCUCGGAUCAGGUAGGGAUACCCGCUGAACUUAAGCAUAUCAAUAAGCGGAGGA